GGCUAACUCCGUGCCAGCAGCCGCGGUAAUACGGAGGGUGCAAGCGUUAAUCGGAAUUACUGGGCGUAAAGCGCGCGUAGGCGGCUUGAUAAGCCGGUUGUGAAAGCCCCGGGCUCAACCUGGGAACGGCAUCCGGAACUGUCAGGCUAGAGUGCAGGAGAGGAAGGUAGAAUUCCCGGUGUAGCGGUGAAAUGCGUAGAGAUCGGGAGGAAUACCAGUGGCGAAGGCGGCCUUCUGGACUGACACUGACGCUGAGGUGCGAAAGCGUGGGUAGCAAACAGGAUUAGAUACCCUGGUAGUCCACGCCGUAAACGAUGUCGACUAGCCGUUGGGGUCCUCGAGACCUUUGUGGCGCAGUUAACGCGAUAAGUCGACCGCCUGGGGAGUACGGCCGCAAGGUUAAAACUCAAAUGAAUUGACGGGGGCCCGCACAAGCGGUGGAGCAUGUGGUUUAAUUCGAUGCAACGCGAAGAACCUUACCUACU
rnacentral:rRNA from 1 species